ACGACGCACUAAAUGAGUGAUAACAAUAAUAGAUACAAAUCGGAUUUUCGGUGUAUUAUUAAUAGCAGUCUAUGGGUAUGUAAGACUAAAGCAUAAAUUUCUUAGUCUCCCUUCGCCAUAGUAUAGUAACUAAAUACAAUCAAAUACUACGAUAAUGUUAUCGUAAUCAUUCUUUACACAAAAUAAUCUUUUUAAUUUUUGUUGACUGAUAUGAAUUUAACAUAACCAUAUAAACGCAAGUCUUUUAAAAGAUUUUUGUUCGUUAUUUAAUUAUUUUAAACAUAACCAUAAAAAACUAAACUGGUUCAGUACUAAUUUGCCGGUUAUACUACAAGCUUGGGUGGUCAAACAUUUUUGUACAUUAAUAAUGUUACAUUUUUUAAUUAUCAUCUAAAUAUAGUGUUUUAGUGUAGCAUAUUAAUAAAAAACUGUUUUAUUUGUAUGUCGUUACAAUUAAUAAAUUAUAUUUGAAAGUUUAUUGAAAUAAUUAAAUUAAAAGAAUAUCGAAUAAUAGCAGAAUACAAAAGACAAUGAAGUAAGCUUUAUAGAUUUGUCUUAAUAAUUUUAUUUUAUGAAAUAGCAGCAUAAAAAAUGAAAUUUACCGAAAAAUUAAAGAGAUUAAUUUUUGAAGAUAUUAACAGUUUUGGAUUUGCUGCUGUUGAAAGACAAAAAUACCGAAAAACUUAACUUUUUUCUCUUUUGAGAAAAAUAAGUUUUGCUGUAGUGACAUUUUAUUUAAAAAUUUUUAGUUUUGAUACAUGCUAUUGUAAGUCAUCAUCUGUAUUUUUAAGUAUGCACUUGUAAGUAAACUAAGAUACUUGGACGUCAUAAGAUUAAUAUCCUAAUCAUAUUAAGAAACAAAAAAGAUUGUAAUGAUGAUUUUUUAUUAUUGUCUAUCAUAAUAAAGUCAUCUAUCGAAUAAACAAAUAGUUCUCAAACAAACUAAAUUAUAGUUUUUGUACAAUUUUGAUGUCUAUUGGUUUUGUAUACACUUGUCUUAGCAUACUACAUUAGUAAGCUUUAAUUUCAUAUCAGAUCAACAUUAGAAUGAAUUGUUAUACUACAAUGACAGUAUUGUAGCUAAAUUUCUCAUUUGAAUUUUCUUUAAACAAUAUUAGAUUGCAAAAAAUAAAUAAAUCUAAUAGUAAUUGUUAAUUUUUUUAAUUAAAAUAGAGCAAUGUAAUAAAGUAAUACAUGUAGUUAUUAUAGUACUCUUUUUGUGAUGUAAUA